UUUCUUAGACCUUCCUAGCACUUUGAUACUAGAAAAACAGCCGUUGUCAGAUACCUUUAAAUGAAAUAAGGUAGUAGCACAGACACUGCACUUCAAAAUGCACUUGCAACCUUAUCAGUAUUUGUGUGUGUCUCAUUCUGCAUCUGAUGGGAGACUUUAAAGCUGAUGGCAGUAAGAUGAAAACAAGCAGCUUUAUAGAAUGAUGUUAACUGGCACUUUAGAAGUAAGUAGAG
rnacentral:lncRNA from 1 species